rnacentral:rRNA from 1 species
UACGUAGGGAGCAAGCGUUGUCCGGAAUCAUUGGGCGUAAAGCGCGCGUAGGUGGCCUCAUAAGUCCGCUGUGAAAGUCAAAGGCUCAACCUUUGAAAGCCGGUGGAUACUGUGAGGCUAGAGUACGGAAGAGGCGAGUGGAAUUCCUGGUGUAGCGGUGGAAUGCGCAGAUAUCAGGAGGAACACCAAUAGCGAAGGCAGCUCGCUGG